rnacentral:rRNA from 1 species
UACAGAGGGUGCAAGCGUUAAUCGGAAUUACUGGGCGUAAAGGGCGCGUAGGCGGUUGAUUAAGUCGGAUGUGAAAGCCCCGGGCUUAACCUGGGAAUGGCAUUCGAAACUGGUUGACUAGAGUAGGAUAGAGGGAAGUGGAAUUUCCGGUGUAGCGGUGAAAUGCGUAGAUAUCGGAAGGAACACCAGUGGCGAAGGCGGCUUCCUGGAUUCAUACUGACGCUGAGGCGCGAAAGCGUGGGGAUCAAACAGG